rnacentral:rRNA from 1 species
UACGAAGGGGGCUAGCGUUGCUCGGAAUCACUGGGCGUAAAGGGUGCGUAGGCGGGUCUUUAAGUCAGGGGUGAAAUCCUGGAGCUCAACUCCAGAAAUGCCUUUGAUACUGAGGAUCUUGAGUACGGGAGAGGUGAGUGGAACUGCGAGUGUAGAGGUGAAAUUCGUAGAUAUUCGCAAGAACACCAGUGGCGAAGGCGGCUCACUGGCCCGUAACUGACGCUGAGGCACGAAAGCGUGGGGAGCAAACAGG